UUUUUAGCUCACCUGGCCCGAAGGGCCAAGUGAGAUUUUCUCAUCACUUGGCGUCCGUCGUCGUCGUCGUCGUUAACUUUUACAAAAAUCUUCUCCUCUGAAACUACUGGGCCAAAUUAAACCAAACUUGGCCACAAUCAUCAUUGGGGUAUCUAGUUUAAAAAAUGUGUCCGGUGACCCGGUCAACCAACCAAGAUGGCCGCCAUGGCUAAAAAUAGAACAUAGGGGUAAAAUGCAGUUUUUGGCUUAUAACUCAAAAACCAAAGCAUUUAGAGCAAAUCUGACAUGGGGUAAAAUUGUUUAUCAGGUCAAGAUCUAUCUGCCCUGAAAUUUUCAGAUGAAUCGGACAACCCGUUGUUGGGUUGCUGCCCCUGAAUUGGUAAUUUUAAGGAAAUU
rnacentral:lncRNA from 1 species